rnacentral:lncRNA from 1 species
GCUGCUCACAUCAAUAUGUCCGACAUUGCCUUCAUUUCUGCAUAGCGGAUGCACUAUCCAGGCUAGGUUUGAGAUCAGUGAGUUAACCCAAGUGCAGGUCAUUGAUGAUGGUUAUAAUUUCAUCUCGUGUAGAUACUAAAUAUGCAAAUGAAAGGGAAAUAAAUAACAUUGACUGAAGCCUGAGCAUUAAACAACCCUGAACCGUAACCAUCAUUGAAGGGUUAGAACUCAGGGCCGGUGUUUUAUGGUCAGGUUUCUGUCAAUGUUAUUUAUUUUCUUUUGUGUGCAUAUUUAGUAUCUACAGGACAUGAAAUUAUAAAUCUGAUGAUCAACCCUCAUGGCACAAAGUACCGUAAAUGAUCCAAUAAACGCCCUGGGCGUUGAUUAAAUUUUCGUACCUUGAAGGGGGAGUUUAUUAGAUAAAGGCGUUUAUUAGAGUGAGGCGUUUAUUCUUACAUACGGCUAGGGGUGCGCCAGGUUUGGAAUUUUCUAAUCCGGCCGGAACCGGAUUUACUGGAUUUGGACAAAAAUUCCGGCCGGAUUUGAGAUAAACCGGUAAUGGGGACAAUUGGGG